rnacentral:rRNA from 1 species
AAUGAACGCUGGCGGCGUGCUUAACACAUGCAAGUCGAACGAGAACGGCGUAUAGCUUGCUAUAUUUGUCAGCUAAGUGGCGCACGGGUGAGUAAUGUAUAGAUAAACUGCCCUUAAGAAAGGAAUAACACGUGGAAACGACUGCUACUGACCUUUAAGCGCUUAAUACAUAACUCUCGAAGGGUACAGAUUUAGUGCUUAAGGAUGGGUCUGUAUGGUAUCAGCUUGUUGGUGAGGUAAUGGCUAACCAAGGCUAUGACGCCUAACUGGUUUGAGAGGAUGAUCAGCCACACUGGAACUGAGACACGGUCCAGACUCCUACGGGAGGCAGCAGUGGGGAAUAUUGCACAAUGGACGAAAGUCUGAUGCAGCAACGCCGCGUGGAGGAUGACACAUUUCGGUGCGUAAACUCCUUUUAUAUAGGAAGAUAAUGACGGUACUAUAUGAAUAAGCACCGGCUGACUCCGUGCCAGCCGCCGCAGUAAGAC